UACGAAGGGGGGCUAGCGUUGCUCGGAAUUACUGGGCGUAAAGCGCACGUAGGCGGCUUUGUAAGUUAGAGGUGAAAGCCCAGGGCUUAACCCUGGAAUUGCCUUUAAGACUGCAUCGCUAGAAUCGUGGAGAGGUGAGUGGAAUUCCGAGUGUAGAGGUGAAAUUCGUAGAUAUUCGGAAGAACACCAGUGGCGAAGGCGACUCACUGGACACGUAUUGACGCUGAGGUGCGAAAGCGUGGGGAGCAAACAGG
rnacentral:rRNA from 1 species